ACCAUGAUGCAGAUGUGGCCCUCAGUGAGAAUGAGUUCGAUACCCCUGUUUUAGCAUGACACUCAUAGCUGCUAGUGCAUCUAAUCACCCACGAGAACAGGGGGCGACAUGUUCACCCAAACCGCACAGCUACACAGAGGCGAAAGGAACCGGAAGAGACGCUCGCAUUCAAAUAAUCACAACAGCCCGCUCGCUCCGUACUGCUGUCUGCAGAAAUUAUUGUUGAAUGCAUGAGAGAAAACUGCACAUUUCUGCUCAGAAAAGAUCCUAACAGUUGGAAAAGGCGAGCCUGGGUGAAGGUCCCAGACCCUCAGUAAGCCUAAAAUUACAUCAUGAUGGAAGCCGAACAGAAGGACGAUUCUGACAACACUCUGUCUAACAGAAAUUCCAGUCCUGGCAAACGUGGCCGCGGUAGACCUCGCGGGUCUUUUAAGAAAAAUGUCGUUUUUGUAAAAGAGGUUGACAAUAAUGUCAGAACAUCGAAAAAAGUGGAUUUCUUUUCACCUGAACUAUUGAUAAGACCGAAACACAGGAAGCGUGGCCGUCCUAAAAAGAUAAGGAUUCCGGGAAGGCCGAGGAAGAUCCCCCUUACGCCAGAAGAAGAAGCAGAGAGAAUGUCACGAUUAGGAAGGAAACGAAAGCUCUCAAAGCCUCUUGGAAGACCACGCAUCCAUCCAGUCGUAAUCAAGUCAAAGAUGAAAAGGGGUAGAGGCAGACCACGCAAAACUGAAUCCAGCGAAAGAGUUUCCACACACAACAGUUCAGAUGACGAUAAACCGACCAGCCUACAGAAGGCCACUAAGCCUGGUGAAGACGCGCCUCGAAAGAGAGGACGGCCGCAUGGUUCGUUUAAGAAGAAGCGAGGAAGGCCUCAAGGUUUCAGUCCAGCAAAACGAUUGAUCGAUGGGGUCCCUGUAAAAAGAGGACGACCCCCAGGAUCCGGAGUCAAGCUACAACCCAGGCAGGAUGCAAGCGAAACCCCUCGAAAAAGAGGAAGACCCCCAGGCUCUGGAAACAAGCUGAAGAGUUUACCCGAAUUAGUAGACGGGACUCCUAGAAAGAGAGGACGCCCACCAGGAUCUGGUAAUAAGGUCAAGGUUGCAAAGCAGACAACAAACGGAGUUCCUAGAAAAAGAGGGCGUCCUCCAGGUUCCGGAAUUAAAGUUCAAGUCAAAUCACAGGACUCAAACGGAGCUCCUCGAAAAAGAGGCCGACCACCAGGAUCAGCAAAAGCCAAGCCUGCUGAGAGCGUGAGUGAAAUCGAACACGCCGAGCUCAGUAGCAGCAGCAGUGUCGUCUCCGUUAGCGCCCAGCCUCGCAAGAGGGGCCGUCCCAAAAAGGUCAGCCACCACAAAGCCUCGAAAUCGGAAGAGGACAGUGAGGUGAACGAUGCCCCCUCUCCUAAACGAGCCCGUAGCUCUUCUGCCUCGGAGACGGAAGCAGAUGCCGAAGACCAAAACUCCAGCGAGAAUGAAGCUGACCACGGCGAGGAGACUUUGGACGAUGAGGAGGUGUUAGAUGAGGGUGAGAAACAUGGUAAACAAGCUUUAGUUAAGGAUGUUCAUGAGAGUAACAGCAGGAAGAAUGCUUUCUCGAGGGUUGGAGGUCUAUUCUAUAGGUAGCGCUGUCGCCUCACAGCAAGAAGGUCCGGGUCCUUUCUGUGUGGAGUUUGCAUGUUCUCCCGUUGUCUGCGUGGGUUUCCUCCGGGAGCUCCGGUUUUCCUGCAAAGCAUGCAAGCGAGAUGGGAGACGGGGCCGGAAAACUCCGAGUUGCCCAACGGCUACUUGAGUGCUAUAAUCAAGACCUUGCCAUACACAGAUUGUUAAAGUGCAAACAUGGAACAGCCUACAUGUGUGAGAUUUUUCAGUCUGCAACUAGUGAUUGUUGGAUAUGCUAUUGCUAUGUUAGUUUAAGUACAUGGUUGUAAAGUUGUUUUGCUCUUUCCUUUUUUUAAAUCGAAGCAGUGAAUGUGUACGUCCCUGGUAGAAACCAUAUACAGUCCGCUCCAAAAGUAUUGGACGUAAUGUAACACCAGUCAGUCACCCUUAAAUGGACGAAAGCGAAGUGAAAGCUAAAUCUCAAUUACUCAAUUAUCAUCGAGUAACCUGAUUACUGAUGAAUUGGCCUCGUCGUUUCAAUACUUCUGGAGCCGGCUGUAUAUAAACUACCUGUUUUCCACCUUUGAUUACUGACCUGCUCUUUUUUGCUUAGUGUAGAUGUAUUAAUAUACAGGAAGUACUUAGACUCGUCUUCCGCUGUAGCAUAUUGACCUUUUAAUGUUCGGAUUAGGCAUAAUUCUGUAUGCAUAAUCAUUAGAUGCUAUUUGAUGUGAGUACUUGUGUAUCUGUUUCGACCUUAAUAAAAUGCUAUGUUCAACCAUGUUCUCUUCUUUGACUCUUCUCUGUAAUGGGAACUGGGGGGGGGGUGGAAUUUAAUUCCUGUUGUUUCUAGAAUAUUCUAAGACAUUUAACCCUCCCCCCCUGGCUAAGUGGGUAGCACUGUCGCCUCACAGCAAGAAGGUCCUGGAUUCGAUCCCCAGGUGGGGGCGGUCUGGGUCCUUUCUGUGUGGAGUUUGCAUGUUCUCCCCGUGUCUGCGUGGGUUUUCUCCGGGUGCUCCGGUUUCCUCCCACAGUCCAAAGACAUGCAAGUGAGGUGAAUUGGAGAUACUAAAUUGUCCAUGACUGUGUUUAAUGUAACCUUGUGAACUGAUGAACCUUGUGUAAUGAGUGACUACCGUUCCUGUCAUGAAUGUAACCUAAAGUGUAAAACAUGACGUUAAAAUCCUAAUAAACAAACCCUCCCCCCAC